AGGGUUUGAUCAUGGCUCAGGACGAACGCUGGCGGUGCGCCUUAUGCAUGCAAGUCGAGCGAAGCUUUUCAGUAGUUUACUACAGAAAAUGACUGAGCGGCGAACGGGUGAGUAACGCGUGAGCAAUCUACCUUAGUUACAGGGAUAGCCCGAGGAAACUCGGAUUAAUACCUGAUAUUCUUUACAUUUCGCAUGAAAUCAAAAGGAAAGGUCAGCCGAACUAAGAUGAGCUCGCGUUCUAUCAGCUAGUUGGUGAGGUAAAAGCUCACCAAGGCAACGACGGAUAGCUGGUCUGAGAGGACGAUCAGCCACACUGGGACUGAGACACGGCCCAGACUCCUACGGGAGGCUGCAGCAGGGAAUAUUGCGCAAUGAGCGAAAGCUUGACGCAGCGACACCGCGUGUGGGAUGACGGAUCUAGGUUUGUAAACCACUUUCAGGAGGGAAGAAAAUGACGGUACCUCCACAAGAAGCCCCGGCCAACUACGUGCCAGCAGCCGCGGUAAUACGUAGGGGGCGAGCGUUGUCCGGAUUUAUUGGGCGUAAAGAGCUCGUAGGCGGUUCAACAAGUCGGUCGUAAAAGUUCAGGGCUCAACCCUGAAAUGUCGAUCGAUACUGUUGUGACUAGGAUACGGUAGAGGUGAGUGGAAUUCCGAGUGUAGCGGUGAAAUGCGUAGAUAUUCGGAGGAACACCAAUUGCGAAGGCAGCUCACUGGGCCGCUAUCGACGCUGAGG
rnacentral:rRNA from 1 species